rnacentral:rRNA from 1 species
UACGAAGGGGGCUAGCGUUGCUCGGAAUUACUGGGCGUAAAGGGCGCGUAGGCGGAUAGUUUAGUCAGAGGUAAAAGCCCAGGGCUCAACCUUGGAACUGCCUUUGAUACUGGCUAUCUUGAGUACGGGAGAGGUGUGUGGAACUCCGAGUGUAGAGGUGAAAUUCGUAGAUAUUCGGAAGAACACCAGUGGCGAAGGCGACACACUGGCCCGUUACUGACGCCGAGGCGCGAAAGCGUGGGGAGCAAACAGG